rnacentral:rRNA from 1 species
UACGUAGGCAGCGAGCGUUGUUCGGAGUUACUGGGCGUAAAGGAGUGCGUGAGGCGGUUUUCUAAGUUUUGGUGUGAAAUCUCCCGCUUAACUGGGAGGGUGCGCCGAAGACUGGAAGGCUUGAGUAUGGGAGAGGUAAGCGGAAUUCCUGGUGUAGCGGUGAAAUGCGUAGAUAUCAGGAGGAACACCUGCGGUGUAGACGGCUUACUGGACCAUAACUGACGCUGAGGCACGAAAGCGUGGGUAGCAAACAGG